rnacentral:tRNA from 2 species
GGGCGGCUAGCUCAGUUGGUUAGAGCGUUACAUUGACAUUGUAAAGGUCACAGGUUCGAAUCCUGUGCCGCCCA